GGAAUUUUCCGCAAUGGGCGAAAGCCUGACGGAGCAAUACCGCGUGAGGGAUGACGGCCUGUGGGUUGUAAACCUCUUUUCUCAAGGAAGAAGUUCUGACGGUACUUGAGGAAUAAGCAUCGGCUAACUCUGUGCCAGCAGCCGCGGUAAUACAGAGGAUGCAAGCGUUAUCCGGAAUCACUGGGCAUAAAGCGUCUGUAGGUGGUUUGGUAAGUCUGCUGUUAAAGACUGGGGCUCAACCCCAGAAAAGCAGUGGAAACUGCCAGACUUGAGUGUGGUAGAGGUAGAGGGAAUUCCUAGUGUAGCGGUGAAAUGCGUAGAUAUUAGGAAGAACACCAAUGGCGAAAGCACUCUACUGGGCCAUAACUGACACUAAGAGACGACAGCUAGGGGAGCAAAUGGGAUUAGAUACCCCAGUAGUC
rnacentral:rRNA from 1 species